UUUAUUAUUUUUUACAGUCUACCUUCAAGUAUACAGGCAUUUAUUAAAAAUUACUUAUUAUAAAUUUUAAUAUUUAAGUACUAAGUAAAUAGAUUUAAUUGUUAUUCACACUUACUCGUUAUUUAAUAACUUAAUAUUAAUAGCAAUAAUAUUAUUCAUAUUUAUAUUUAAAUUUAAAUUAAAAUUUAACUAGUCUCAUUACGUUACACGCGACGAAAUAAUUGAAGUUAUAAAUUUAAAUAUAAUUAGAGCCAGUAAAAAAAGGAAAAUGUUUUUAAAAAAUUUAUUAUUAUUAUUUAUCGUCAUUGAUUUGGUAGGACAAGAGAAAUCAGUAAUUGAAUGCCAAAGGCGUUUGUGAAAUUGAGGACGUUCGCAAGUUUCAAUUCAACACAACACGAUUUUGCUGAUGCGCUGUUUCUUUUCAUCUUCUGUCUCCUGCUCCAGCAUUAACUCAUCGCAUCUUUCAGGAAAUCAACCAUAACUACCAGAGUUACCAGUUACUAUACUUAACAACAUACAUAUAAAGGCUGGUAAGAAUAAAAUGAAGAAAACAAACAAACGAAUAAUACAGAAGAGAAAUAAAAAGAAUUGCAACUGUCUUAUAAAAGGGAAAUUACUAAAAUGUGAGUUUCCAGCUUCCCACGUCUGUAAAUUACCUCGGGUAAAAAGAUGAUGAGAGAUAUAAUAUAAGGAAACAAAAAAAAAGAAAAAAUGUUUAAUAAAAAUAUGUUGGGUCUAGAAUUUUUUAAGCAAAGCAUAAAAAAAUAUAUAUAUAUAUAUACACGAGGAUGUGUAACCACCGUAUAAUUCCAUAAUGGAGAAAAUCAGCUUGACAUUUAGUGAAAGAAAGCCAAUAUUGCGAAGAAAGCCGCACCCUGGGAUGUUUAUCACGCCGAAGAUGCAUCAGAGAGGAACACGCCCCAGGCGACGAUGAACCUCUUUCGAAACUUUCUAAACUACCAAAUAACCCGAUGACUCCCAUAAGUUCUCAUACAAAUAAUAUUUAUUUUUUCAUCUUUUCCCAAAAUUAGUGAAUUUUCCAAUUAGUUCAAAAACUAUCAGCUCAUAUCUGCCGUAAGUUAA